rnacentral:tRNA from 1 species
GUUCCAGUAGCACAACUGGUUAGGGCACAGUACUUAUAGAGCACUUAUAGGGUGGAGUGUUGCUGGGGUUGUGAGUUCAAGUCUCACUUGGUGCA